UGCUAGUGAAUUUUGCUUUUGUUGUGUGGU
rnacentral:piRNA from 1 species